UACGUAGGGAUGCAAGCGUUGUCCGGAAUUAUUGGGCGUAAAGAGCGCGCAGGCGGUCUAUCAAGUCAGAUGUGAAAUAUCCAGGCUUAACCUGGAGGGGUCAUUUGAAACUGGUAGACUAGAGUACAGCAGAGGAUAGUGGAAUUCCCGGUGUAGUGGUGAAAUGCGUAGAUAUCGGGAGGAACGACCAGUGGCGGAAGGCGGCACUCUGGGACGGUACUGGACGCUGAGACGCGAAAGCGUGGGGAGCGAACAGG
rnacentral:rRNA from 1 species